UACGUAGGGGGCAAGCGUUGUCCGGAUUUAUUGGGCGUAAAGAGCGUGUAGGCGGCCACGCAGGUCCGCUGUGAAAACUCGAGGCUCAACCUCGAGACGUCGGUGGAAACCGUUUGGCUAGAGUCCGGAAGAGGAGAGUGGAAUUCCCGGUGUAGCGGUGAAAUGCGCAGAUAUCGGGAAGAACACCCGUGGCGAAGGCGGCUCUCUGGGACGGUACUGACGCUGAGACGCGAAAGCGUGGGGAGCGAACAGG
rnacentral:rRNA from 1 species